rnacentral:lncRNA from 1 species
UGCACCCUCUGGUCUACGCGCAACACCGGUCUUCCCCUCUCCGACAAGACUCGCUUCCAAUCCCUCCUCCACCUCUCUUCCCUUUCUAAACUCGACCCAGUAAGUAACCCCCUCACUCCACCAAUUUCACCGCCAAUUGCUUCUUCUCUACUCUGGCUGUGACAUGACCUCGACUCUGUUGCCCUGCUCAAUCGUGCUGAUUCCAAAACGACGUUGCCCGACUUCCGGUGUGAUUUUCACCAAUUUCGAUUUGCAAAGAAAGGGUUGCACUUAACUUAAUUUGUUUCACCCAUUUUGCCCUUCAUUAAAUUUGAUUUCCCCUGUUUACACUCCACUUUUUAAUACAAGAUACAUUUCACAUAUGUUUUUAAUGCCACGUCAGAAUAAACAACAC